rnacentral:rRNA from 1 species
UACGGGGGGAGCAAGCGGUUGUUCGGAUUUACUGGGCGUAAAGGGCGCGUAGGCGGCCACCGCAAGUCACUUGUGAAAUCUCCGGGCUUAACCCGGAAAGGUCAACUGAUACUGCGGGGCUAGAGUGCAGGAAGGGGCAACUGGAAUUCUCGGUGUAGCGGUGAAAUGCGUAGAUAUCAGGAGGAACACCGGUGGUGUAGACGGCUCGUCUGGACCGUAACUGACGCUGAGACACGAAAGCGUGGGUAGCAAACAGG